rnacentral:rRNA from 1 species
GCAAGUCGAGCGGGCGUAGCAAUACGUCAGCGGCAGACGGGUGAGUAACGCGUGGGAACGUACCUUUUGGUUCGGAACAACACAGGGAAACUUGUGCUAAUACCGGAUAAGCCCUUACGGGGAAAGAUUUAUCGCCGAAAGAUCGGCCCGCGUCUGAUUAGCUAGUUGGUGAGGUAAUGGCUCACCAAGGCGACGAUCAGUAGCUGGUCUGAGAGGAUGAUCAGCCACAUUGGGACUGAGACACGGCCCAAACUCCUACGGGAGGCAGCAGUGGGGAAUAUUGGACAAUGGGGGCAACCCUGAUCCAGCCAUGCCGCGUGAGUGAUGAAGGCCCUAGGGUUGUAAAGCUCUUUUGUGCGGGAAGAUAAUGACGGUACCGCAAGAAUAAGCCCCGGCUAACUUCGUGCCAGCAGCCGCGGUAAUACGAAGGGGGCUAGCGUUGCUCGGAAUCACUGGGCGUAAAGGGCGCGUAGGCGGGUCUUUAAGUCAGGGGUGAAAAUCCUGGAGUUCAACUCCAGAACUGCCUUUUGAUACU